rnacentral:rRNA from 1 species
GGCUCAGGACGAACGCUGGCGGCGUGCUUAACACAUGCAAGUCGAGCGGUAAGGCUCCUUCGGGGGUACACGAGCGGCGAACGGGUGAGUAACACGUGAGUAAUCUGCCCUCCACUUCGGGAUAAGCCUCGGAAACGGGGUCUAAUACCGGAUACGACACUCCUUCGCAUGAGGUGGGUGUGGAAAGUUUUUCGGUGGGGGAUGUGCUCGCGGCCUAUCAGCUUGUUGGUGGGGUAAUGGCCUACCAAGGCUUCGACGGGUAGCCGGCCUGAGAGGGUGACCGGCCACACUGGGACUGAGACACGGCCCAGACUCCUACGGGAGGCAGCAGUGGGGAAUAUUGGACAAUGGGCGGAAGCCUGAUCCAGCAACGCCGCGUGAGGGAUGACGGCCUUCGGGUUGUAAA